UAGUGCUGCAAUGUAAACAUUGCAAUUUUUUUGGUACUGCAAUGUUUUACAUUGCAGCACUA
rnacentral:miRNA from 1 species